AGUGAACGCUGGCGGAGGCCUAACCCAUUCCAGUUGAACGGCAACACAGUAAAGGCCUGCCUCUUCGGGGGGCGAGUGGGGGGAGGGGGGGGGAUAAAACGGAAACUUCUUUUUCCGGGGGGAUAAAGGAAGGAAAACUAAGCCUAUAACGCAUAACACCUACGGGUGAAAGCCGGGGGACUUUCGACCCUGCCCCAAUUUAUUAGCCCGAUGUCGGAUUAGCUAGUUGGCGGGGUAAAGGCCCACCAAGGCGACGAUCCGUAGCUGGUCUGAGAGGAUGAUCAGCCACACUGGAACUGAGACACGGUCCAGACUCCUACGGGAGGCAGCAGUGGGGAAUAUUGGACAAUGGGCGCAAGCCUGAUCCAGCCAUACCGCGUGGGUGAAGAAGGCCUUCGGGUUGUAAAGCCCUUUUGUUGGGAAAGAAAAGCAGCAGGUUAAUACCCCGCUGUUCUGACGGUACCCAAAGAAUAAGCACCGGCUAACUUCGUG
rnacentral:rRNA from 1 species